UGUGAAUGAUGAAAGGUCUUUGCCUGACAUGACUGUGAGGGUCAAAACUGAUUUAAUGAGCCUGAUGC